GAUUACAAUAAAAAGAAGCGUACAUUUGAAUCUGCUGGAGUUGCCAAGGAUUUUCUCCCAGUUAAUUGCAUGGAAUCGAUAACGCGUAAAAUUUCACUGUUAAAAAAGGAAAAUAUAUAAUAUAUACGUACCUGAUCGCUCGUAAGGUGGUUUUACUUGUCACUUCGAGGCAAGCAGGUGUAAAGCGUCGCGUGCGAAAACUUAUUUGUGAAACGAGGUUGUAAAUGUUCAGACUAAGGCGAUAUGUCAAACAUCGUUUCAGAUAUUUCAGUCGGCGAUUGGGGUGAUCACGAUAUUUUGCCACACGCUGGAGAAUAGCCUACAUGCAACAGCUUUGCAAACGCAAGGGACCUUGGAAUCCACUACUGGCCCCUGCGGAACGCUUUAAACAACUUUAAGUACAAAAGAACUUUCCCGCCAACCUAAUAUAUCUCGACACCAAUUAAAAAGUCAUUAAAUUCCGAUAUUGCCCCCACUCCUAGCAAAAAGCCAUUGCUGGAUUUAUAAACAGAUGACAAUUUGAAAAAUAUUCUUUAAAAUCGAACUCUAUUAUUACGUUUUUUAAACUUUGAUCGUAAUGAAGCUUGUAGCUGCAUCAUUCACAUAAAAGUAGCUGUUAAUAUGUUCUGCGAGGACCCAAAGUCGUCCCUCGUUUUGGCCUCACGGGUUCACGCUCUCUGGUCGGGGAGAGACGGAGUGCUAGAGAGGCGAAAGAGAAAAGGAAGAGAAAGAAAGUGACAACUACCCCACGUUAACAAGUAUACACGCACACAGGAGGCUUGGCGUCAGUCGUAUACCAACGACAACAACAAUCACCCCAGGAACAAGGAGGGGGCCGAAAAACCUAGCGGAUGAAACAAAAAAAAAACCUUUGAUUUACAACAAUAACAGAAACAAGUAUUAACGUUUUAUUUCUUCCAGGUACCUAAGGAGUUCACAAAUAAAAAAAAGAAAAGGAAAAGGGUAAUAUACCAGGGUUGACAGCGACAAUAGCAGCAGCAACACCCCCAAUAGCCCCAUCGCCAUUCCGCUGAUUAACAACAGUCAUAACAGCAAUAGGUAACAACUAGUACAACACCAACAGCAAGUACAGUUAAAGGCAGGUCCGGUGCACUUAAGCCAACCGACAACUGCCAACCAACCUUCAACGUAUGACCACCCCCACGGGCAGCAGCAACAACGAGAGGUAUCACCACCACUAAAACAGGGUGUGAGAGUUCAGGUCAGUAAGCAACAUAUAGAAAAAGAAAAACGUGGAAUUUAUAUUGAGAGUUUACCCGACCAACAGCAACAAGUACAUUCCCUAGGAGUGAAGCUUAGAUAGACAAAAAAAGGGGAAAAGGAAACUCUAAAAGAAAUUUUAACAAGCGAUAGUGAAGUACUUUUACUUCUUUUAAUAUAGAUGAAAUUACACCCAACCCGAAACCUCAAAUACUACCGCGAUCCGCGCGAAAUAAUAUCAUUAUAAUAGGAGUAGAUCCAAUAAUCCGAAAAAGCUAGUAGGAUAGGAACGCUCGAGAGUUACGGGAAAAUUAUUAGUAAAGCCAAGAAAAGAAAAUAUUUUAAUUGAGAAAUUCGGGAAAUAGAAACUAACUAAUUAUUGCAAAAAGUGAAAUUUUUUUACGAAAAUAUGAAGUGUCUUUAUUUUGUUGCUCUUAUUUCCGUACGUCAUUUGUAAGAGUGUUCAUCGGCACAACGUAUAGGUCUUGCCAUGGCAACCACAUUUCUAAACGGGCUAUUCAGUUGAAAAAAAAAAGCAACUGAAUAUUAACGAUCGAACAGCACAAUUCUGAGUUAUUGUGAAGGUUGUGAAAUCCAAAAGUCUAACAAAAAUAAAACGACCACGCUAAGUUAUAAAAUAAAUGAAAUAAUCGUAAUACUGUGAGAAACCAAUGUGAUUUAAUGAUGUAUAGUGGGCUAAACAAGAAAUAGCAUCGAUUAAUGACAAAAUUUUAAUUUGAAGAAGGAAAAGCAAAAACCCUAAACGUCCGUGAAGCUAUGCAGUCAAAAUUCU